AGAUUGAACGCUGGCGGCAUGCCUAACACAUGCAAGUCGAACGGGAGUAGCAAUACUCUAGUGGCGGACGGGUGAGGAAUACGUAGGAAUUUGCCCUUAAGUGGGGGAUAACCCGGGGAAACCCGGAUUAAUACCGCAUGACCUCGAAAGAGCAAAGUGGGGGAUCGCAAGACCUCACGCUUUUGGAGAAGCCUACGUCGGAUUAGCUAGUUGGUGAGGUAAUGGCUCACCAAGGCGACGAUCCGUAACUGGUCUGAGAGGAUGGAUCAGUCACACCGGAACUGAGACACGGUCCGGACUCCGUACGGAGCAGCGAGUACGGGAUAGUCGGAACAAGUGGGCGACAAGUCCUAGGAUACCAGACAAUCGACCGUCGUGUGGUA
rnacentral:rRNA from 1 species